rnacentral:tRNA from 1 species
GCCCCUAUCGUCUAUCGGCUAGGACAUUGGAUUCUCAAUCCAGUAAGCCGGGUUCGACUCCCGGUGGGGGCGCCA